rnacentral:snRNA from 1 species
AUCGCUUCUCGGCCUUUUGGCUAAGAUCAAGUGUAAAUGCAUGGAUCAUCACUUUAAUUAUUGGAAACAUAGUAUUACACUCAGACAGUUUGGCUUCAUACUAUACAAAGAUAAUCAGAGACCUGGUCUCAUUCUUC